rnacentral:pre_miRNA from 1 species
GUGGGUGUGUCAGGCAGGCAGUGCAUUGCUAGCUGGCUGUUAGACUUUCAUCCCAACGGUUGCUAGCUGCACUACCCUCUGCUACACUCAGA